rnacentral:rRNA from 1 species
UUGAACGCUGGCGGCAGGCCUAACACAUGCAAGUCGAGCGGCAGCACAGAGGAACUUGUUCCUUGGGUGGCGAGCGGCGGACGGGUGAGUAAUGCCUGGGAAAUUGCCCUGAUGUGGGGGAUAACCAUUGGAAACGAUGGCUAAUACCGCAUGAUGCCUUCGGGCCAAAGAGGGGGACCUUCGGGCCUCUCGCGUCAGGAUAUGCCCAGGUGGGAUUAGCUAGUUGGUGAGGUAAUGGCUCACCAAGGCGACGAUCCCUAGCUGGUCUGAGAGGAUGAUCAGCCACACUGGAACUGAGACACGGUCCAGACUCCUACGGGAGGCAGCAGUGGGGAAUAUUGCACAAUGGGCGCAAGCCUGAUGCAGCCAUGCCGCGUGUAUGAAGAAGGCCUUCGGGUUGUAAAGUACUUUCAGUCGUGAGGAAGGUUGUAGUGUGAAUAGCACUAUGAUUUGACGUUAGCGACAGAAGAAGCACCGGCUAACUCCGUGCCAGCAGCCGCGGUAAUACGGAGGGUGCGAGCGUUAAUCGGAAUUACUGGGCGUAAAGCGCAUGCAGGUGGUUUGUUAAGUCAGAUGUGAAAGCCCUGGGCUCAACCUAGGAGUUGCAUUUGAAACUGG